rnacentral:rRNA from 12 species
UGGCGGCCUCGGGUCCAUCCCGAGGCCACGCCCGUCUGAGGGUCG